GACGAACGCUGGCGGCGUGCUUAACACAUGCAAGUCGAACGCUGAAGACCUGGCUUUUGUUGGGUUGGAUGAGUGGCGAACGGGUGAGUAACACGUGAGUAACCUGCCCUCUUCUUUGGGAUAACGCCCGGAAACGGGUGCUAAUACUGGAUAUUCACUGGCCUUCGCAUGGGGGUUGGUGGAAAGGUUUGUUCUGGUGGGGGAUGGGCUCGCGGCCUAUCAGCUUGUUGGUGGGGUGAUGGCCUACCAAGGCUUUGACGGGUAGCCGGCCUGAGAGGGUGACCGGUCACAUUGGGACUGAGAUACGGCCCAGACUCCUACGGGAGGCAGCAGUGGGGAAUAAUGCACAAUGGGCGAAAGCCUGAUGCAGCGACGCCGCGUGAGGGAUGGAGGCCUUCGGGUUGUAAACCUCUUUCGCUCAUGGUCAAGCCGCAACUGUGGGUUGUGGUGAGGGUAGUGGGUAAAGAAGCGCCGGCUAACUACGU
rnacentral:rRNA from 1 species